rnacentral:lncRNA from 1 species
UUCAGAUAUUUUGUAUUAUGUACUCUCGUUUCUCUCUCAGGAUAUUUUAGGGUUUCUUUUAUAAGGCUUUGAUUCACCUGAAUCAAAGCUUAGAUUAUGAGAUUCUUGUGUAUUUUGAAUCUUAGAUUGGUGUGAGAUUUGAGAGUUGUGUAUAUUUGUUCUUUAUAAUUUCAAAAUACUUUUAGGGAUACCACAAUCUUUGGUUUGGGUAUUCUGAGUUCAAUUGCUAAUUGAUACCAUAAUUUUCAUAUGGUAUCAGAGCUCUUGAAGCUCUUGAGUUGAAAUCUGGGUGUUGGGGUUUCAUUCAUCUUUCCAUUGUGAGUUCUUGGCUAGAGCUGAACUAGAUUGGGUGAUUCUUGAUCAGAUUUAAGAAGUCUUGGUAGUAUUUAUUGAUGCAGACUUCAGAUUUGUAAGAUCGGUGUAUUUCGAAAUGUGUACUGGUCAUCAGAGGGAAGACUUUUUCUAGGGUUUGCUAUCUUGGCGGGUCAGAAUUUAUUAAUAAUCAAAUGACUUUGUUGUGUAAAGAUAAAGAAAUCAUUCAUUAGAUUUCAGGUGGAAAAACUCCCUAUGAAUAAAAGUUGUGAGCCGAGGAACUUUCAUGAGGCUGCUAAUGAUCCCAAUUGGGUGUUAGCCAUGAAUGAAGAGACUGAAGCUCUUCACAGAAAUGACACGUGAGAUUUAGUUGAAUUGCCUCCUGGUAGAAGUGUAGUUGACUGUAAGUGGAUAUACAAAAUAAAAUAUAAAUCCACUAUUGAAAUUGAAAAGUUUCAGGCUAGACUUGUUGCCAAAUGUUAUAGUAAAAAACAAGGUGUUGAUUUUGAUGAAACAUUUUCUCCUGUUGUUAAACUUGUAAUUGUUAGAUGUAUCUUAUCUCUAGCAGUUGAAACAAGUGGAAAUUAAAGCAGCUUGAUGUUAAUAAUGCGUUCUUAUUUGGUAAUCUAAAUGAAUAUGUCCUUGCCUGAUGGUUGUUUUUCUAAGGAUGAAAACAGAGUGUGUAAACAGGGUGUAUUGCUUAGAGUUAUUAACUGAGUUUGACAUGGUGCAUGCAAACUAGUUAAUAACCCUAUUUAACAAAAUCAUUUUAUAACCAAUUUAUGUAAAAAAAUUAUGAUGUUGUUGAUAAUGUCACAGGUUAUCAAAAAUGGUAGGCAAGUUAAUUUAUCUUGCACACACUAGGUGUAACAACCGUCUAAUUUCCAAUCGAAUAUAAUGAAAUAUACAUAAUUUUAUAUAAAAGUACUUUAAUUCAACAUAAGUACAAAAUCAAAGUUUUAAAGUAACCACAUACUAGUCAACUACCGACUUGUUUAAAUAUUCAUAACAUGAUUAGCAAAUCGUUUACAUCAAAAACAUUGUCUAAACAAAGUUAAGUUAACGCGGAAGCUUCAAAAGUUCGUGUUCGGUUCUUCAAAACAUGCAUGAUCGCCAUCCGUAAAGUUCCCAUUAUCACCUAAAGUCAAAAACACUUAAAAUGUUAGUUUUGACAUUGAUAUAGUGCGUAUAAUCAAGUUCCAGCAUCGAAUCAUAAAAAAAAAUCAGUUUUGGUCCUACCGCGUGUCGCGCCAGAACCCACUCAACCUGUCGCGUGUCGCGACGGCUUUCGCGUGUCGCGCCAGAUUCAAAAGACCCUGUCGCGUGGCGCGGGUGAGACCAUUUUCCAGCAGGUGCAGGUUUUUGACCUGCAUUUCCUUCCAGCUCCGGAAUUCACAAAUUUUAACUUCAAACGGUUAUAACUUUUGACCCGAAGGUCCGUUUUAGGUGAUUCUUUUUCCUAUACGUCUGUAAUUUAAUUACUGACGCGUCUAUUGCAAUUAUUAUACCGAAAAUUUCGUUUACGGACCGAAUGACUAAAAUCACUUUUACAAUUGUUCAACCCAUUACUUUUACACCCAUUUUGCUUUCAAUGCAAUAGUAACCAUAAGGCACUUUACCCAACAUCUGGGGCUCUAUAUCACCGGCAUUUUAUGACCAAUCUUAUGGUUCCAUGCUCUUGUGAUUAUCAACGCCAAACGUUAACUAUCUACACUAACGCUACUUAAUUCGUUAUUAUUCGACCGUUUGGCUCAAUUAUGGAAUCCUCCACUUGUAUUGACUACCAAACACUUCCUAGUCGAUUCCUAACUUAUUAAUUUAAGUAGUGAACAUCAUCACUUUAAUCAACACAACUUUUACUCUAAUACACAACUAUACAGGUUUUAAUAUCAAAUUUACUCAAUGUAACGGAUCGAGUUACAUACCUUCAAAGCAAACCCUUCAAUCGUGCUUCAUCACCGGCUUGUCCACUAGACGCUCUGGCUUCCUUUCCUAUAGAGUUCAACCAUGGAACGUUUAGAACUCUCUUCAAAUCAUAUAUCACAUAGUUUGUCGAAACAUUACAAAUAUGUGUUUUAACUUGAAAUUUCAGUUUUAAGCCUUCUUUGAGGCAUUUAUACAAACACUUUAAGGGCAGAAUUUUACAUGAUUUAUUAACAAGUUCAUAACUUGUCAUAUAGCCCAAAUUUACAUCAAUCAAACUAUCUUACAUAAAUGUUAGCCUCUAUAAUUCUGAAUUCACUUCACAAUAUCAAUUUACACUAGAACAACCACCAAAAAUCCUAGUGUUUAUCAAGUUCUACAUAACCCACUAAUCACCUUCAAUGGUGUUCAUGAAUUUUACUAGAAUUAAGCAGGAUUUCAACAUAUACUUGUCUAGGGUUUACUCCUAGACACUACAAUGUUCCUAUUUCAUCACAUAACAAGUAUGCAAUCAUCUAAUUCGAAUUCUCUAGGUUCACUUAGAAAUUCCACUAGAGAUUUCUCAUAAAAUUCUCAUACCUUAUGACUCCUUUUUCAGUGGGGAUCACUAUUCCGUGCUCGGAUUUUGAUUUAGAACGGAUUUUGAUCUUCGAUUUGAGAGAUUAAGUGUGAACUAGGGUUGUGGGGGUUUUCUCCUGGUCGCCCUGUGCUUGUAUCAAUCCAGACACACACACUUGUGUGUGUUUGGAUUUUAAUUUUAUGUUUUAUUAAAAAAUUUUUCAAUUUAAUCACUUUUAGUCCCCCAACUUUCAUUUAGUUCAUGUUUAGUACUUUUAACCCUUUCAUAAGUUACUACAAGAUUUUUAUCUAACUAGGUUAUUUUAAAUCCUAGUUAGUUCACUUGUUUAAUUACCAACCUUUUAUUUUUAAAUAAAAGAUUUACAUUUUCGGGGUGUUACACUAGGCCUAACAUAUUAUACACUGUUCAUUACUUGAUUCAAUACAUACAUUCUCCAACUCAAGGUUAUUUAGAAAUUGCAUUCAGAUUGUUAAGAAAUAGUCACCUGGAAAAGUUGUUCUGUUUAGUAAAGGGCUCGAGUUUAAUUUAGUUGCAUAUGUAGACUCUGACUGGGCUAAGUGCCUUGAGUCAAGGAAGUCUGUUGCAUGUUUUUGUGUGUUUUUAGGAAAUUGUUUAGCUUCCUGGA